UUGCUGCCAUAUCACAUUGAAAUACUGAUUCCCAUAUGAUCACCAAAAGUUGAGCAACAUUGAGCCUGAUAAGUAUCUAGAUGGGUGACAACUUGGGAAUACCAGGGGCUGGA